rnacentral:rRNA from 2 species
AGAAUGACUCUCGGCAACGGAUAUCUAGGCUCUUGCAUCGAUGAAGAACGUAGCGAAAUGCGAUACUUGGUGUGAAUUGCAGAAUCCCGUGAACCAUCGAGUCUUUGAACGCAAGUUGCGCUCGAUGCCAUUAGGUUGAGGGCACGUCUGCCUGGGUGUCACAU